rnacentral:misc_RNA from 1 species
GGACAUUAUAUAUUUCAAUAGAUUUAAAAAAAAUGCAAUAAUAAGUCCUCCAAUUCAACCAAUGCCCACUGAAAUCAUGCAAUAAUCAAGAAAACAUUGAUCUCAUACGAAAAUUAUUAGUUUUGAAGUCAUGCAUCCGCCUAAAAUGCAAAAUGAAAUGAAAUAGAUACAACACACCGUCUAUUAACACACUGAAAUAUCAACAGAAAAGAAAAUAAAGCAUGGAAAUUAACCUGCCUACCAGUGACAUCACUACAACUAUAUGCAGUGUAUAAUAAUUGUUUGUCUACUUAGAUUUCUUGCCCAUUAUUCUCUGGGAAAACUUUUUGACAAGACUCUAAUCUGAGCUAUUAUGAACUUCCAAGCCAAAUCCUCUUCAAGUUUCACGAGCUUCUCAAUCUACCGGAGCACCAACAUGCUCUGUUUCUGCAUCAAAAGCAAAUUUAUAGAGCAUGUUAACACAUGAUUCAAUCCAAAUGAUUUCUUUUUUGCCAUAGAAAAAUAACAAUAGCCACAAAUCUUACUAUAUAAAAAAGGUUGGAGCAAAUUAAUUCAUAGCACAUGAUACAUUGCAAAAGAACGCGUGAUCUGGAAAAACACAAUAUGAGAAGAUAAUGCAAAGAUCUCAAAACAAAAUACGAUUUUGAAGCAAAUUUAAGCAAUAACAAAUAGAAAUUCUAAGAAAAAAAGAAUCUACAGGUGGACAAAUCUAUUUCCAAAAUAAAUCAGCGUUCAGCAAGAACCAAAUGCAUGAGUAAGAUCACAAUAGCACCUAAGCUACAAGCCAAUUCUGCAAUUUCAUUUUGGCAGUUCGUUGCAACCAUGACCAAUCACAGGGAAGACAAAAAAAAUAUACAAAAUAAAAAAGCCUGUGGCAGGCAGUCCACUUGAACAGCAAAAGGAGAAUAACUAAGAUAAGGAAACCCCAAUCAACCAAUUCAAGUACUUUAACUGUCUUUGAGCCAAAAAAAAAGGUACUUGAAUUUUCACAUACUCUCAUCCUUAUAAAUAAUACAAAAACCAAUCAAGUCAUGCAAAAAUGAAAGGCUGGCCUUUGAUGCAUGUAAAUUGGUGGAAUAUUCCUACCCUGAAAUUAUCUAUUGGAGCCUAUAAAAACAUCAAAUAAACCACAGCAACUCAUCCAGGAGGUUCUCUGCGAUACUUGUGGAGCUGGAGGUACGAGAGGCUGGGUUUCAGUAUACUCAGAAGUCUCAGUAUCUUUGGCCUUAUCUGCAUCAUUACUAGUUUCAGAAGUAUAAGCACCUGAUGAUGUCAAUGUCCUAGACUCAUUUCCAACUACAGUAACACUUAAAAUCCCAGAGUCUUUGAUGUUUUCUGCAAACAUGCUAGUUUCAGCACUAUGAGCACCUGACAAAGGCAAUGCCUUAUCCUCAUUACCAUUCACAGUAGAACUAACCAUAUUUGUUGAUGACCCAACAUUUUCAUCCAAUAAGGGGAAAAGAUUAUCCUUAUUUUUCUCUGGUACCAAACGAGAUAAAACAUCAUUGGAUUCCCGCAGCAAUUUUUCUUCAUUUUCCUUCAACCCAGGUUCAACAACAUCCAGAACCUCUGAAUUCUCAACUUCAGCACCUUCCAUCACAUGCUUUGCCACUUCAGACAUAGGCACCACAGGCGCAACCACGUCAACACUAGGGGCAGUUUCUGUAAAUGAAUUACCAUUUGCUUUAUUAAGUGGUUUUUCAAGACCCAAAGCCUGUGUCACCUCUUCAGUAAAUACCUUUUGCACAUUAUCUGAAGCUGAAUUAAGGGCUUCCUCCUUCCAUUUCUUGUCCAAAACUUGAGGCUCAUCAUCAGAACUACUACUGCUAGAGCUUUUGUCAUAUCCAUCAUGUGCCUCCUUUGCAGACUGAACAUGCUCCACAUUAACGUCUUUGCUCUCCAUAUACUGCUCAGGGUUCAGUUCUUUCUCAAUUAUAACGAUAGUGUCAUCCCCUACUCCAAUUUUUUGGCUUCCUUCUGCAUCCUCAAUGACUCCAUCAUUGGGCUUGCAUUCAGAGGCUAAGGACGACGAGUUUGUCUUCUCAGAUUCUUGAUUCUCCUCAUUAAAUGGAUGCUGAUCGUUAUGGUGGUCCUGUGAUAAAGGAGAACCAACCUCACCACUAUCGCUCUCCCUCUCGUCCUGGCUUCUCGGAUCUUCACUUCCUAAUAGCAUUUGAUUAAAAACACAAAAAUCUCAAUACAAAAUCUGUAAUGGGAAAAGAGUUUCAACAAACUUCUAAGAAGAAAUUCCAGUUAAUGUCUUGAGAUUUUUAUAUGAGAACUAAGUAAAAGAAUUCCAAGAAAAAGCCACGCAAAACCAUGGCCAUUAACAAAUACUCAAUGCUCCCAAACUAAUCAAUAGGCCAGAGUUGAAAACGCAGUUGUUAACGAUAGUUAAGAUGAUUAAACACGAAUAAUCAGAGUCACAAUCAAGGAAAAAAGGGGGAGGGGGUCAUUACUCAUUUUGCAAGCACCCAAAAAAAAAUGUAAUCAAACCAAGCAAAUCAUGGGACUCAAAAAAUUAUUUUCAAUUCAGAUUCCCAAAAAUCAACAAACACCCAGUAAUCCAACUGAUUAAAACAGCAAAACCAACACAACAUUCCUAAUAGAAUCACCAAAUCAAGGGACAUCAGCAAAGACCCAUUGGUAAAAAUCAGCAAACCAAAGCAAUCCAACUACAAUGAACCAAUCAAACGCACGUAGAACUAGGCUCACUAACAAAUACCCAUUACCUCAGAUUCACAGAACACAAGAAAACAAACGCGUAAAAGAAAAACAAUAGUGCGAAUGAUUAAGUGACAGAAUGGCAAGUAGUGGAUUGCAGCGAUGGGGUUCUUGGUACCAAAAAAGUGUAAAGGCCUUUAAAAUACUACCUCGAGGGCUACUGUCAUCUAAUGAAGAAGAAUUGUUGCUGUUAUUGUUGGCCUGCUGUUCCCUCUUUUUCUUAGCUGCUUUUCUCUUCUUUGCACCUGAUGGCAUGAUUGAUCGUGCCCUUUCUCACUUGUCGCGGGGCAACAACCGAAAAGAAAAAAUAUACCCAGAUCGUGGGGUGUCCCCAAGGCCCUAGACCCCUCUCUCCCUCUUCGUAUUCUCUGUAAAAGCUCAACAAUAGUACAAGUUAACAGGUAGGCCUUACGGGUGGAGAUGAGGAGCGUCUAGUAACAUGGCGUUCAGAAUCUGUUUCCCCAUCUGUCUCUUCCUUGAUUCUAAUUAAGCUUUGUUUUGUUUUUGUUUUUUGUGGGUAUUAUUACAGAGAAGACACACGACAGUGGGUAUAGAAAGGAUUUAAUUUAUUAAUUUUUAUUUGGGC